CUGUGGUGCUUGGGGAAGAGGGAGAACAGGACCUGCUGUCUUGACAUUGCGUAUUAUUUUUUGGGGCUCCACUUGUCUCAAAACCACAGUCUCAGACAGUCUCCCACUCGGCUGGUCUGGUUUCAUCGUUCCCCAGAUAUGGAAAGACAUUGAGAAAGUUGGUUUCGACAUCCACGGCUAACCAAAACAGAAGUCACAUCAUUAUCAGUUUCUAUCUGGUUUCUAUUGGCCAUUCAUCCGUUGACGACAGAAUAUUAUGUUACUCGUUGUUGCUUAGUAACCAGAGCAAUGCUGGCACUAGAGUGGUCAUGUGCUAAAUGAAUGAACAGCAGGGAUGUUGGUGAGAAAAGUGACAUUUGGAAAUAGAGCUUCACCUCUUGAAUGUUGAGAGUUAUUUGAUAAAGGCUGGUUGAAUGAGUUCCCUAUGAGAGGCUACUUCAUCUGCAAGAAAACAGGCGGCCGCACCAGUUUCCUCAUAUGAAAUUAAAAGGGUCAGUGGUCUAAAAUGAGUCUCUCUGGGGAGAGAGAGG